rnacentral:pre_miRNA from 1 species
UUAACGAAAAUUUGUAUGGAGUUGGACCGUUUGCGUACGUUUGCCGCUAGGGGCGCUGUUCCAACUGCCUAUAAAUUUCAAUUA